rnacentral:rRNA from 1 species
UACGAAGGGGGCGAGCGUUGUUCGGAAUCACUGGGCGUAAAGGGCGCGUAGGCGGCCCUCCUAGUCGCGUGUGAAAGCCCCGGGCUCAACCGGGGAACGGGCGCGGAUACGACCUUCCUGGAGGGGCGUAGGGGGACCUGGAACUUCCGGUGGAGCGGUGAAAUGCGUUGAGAUCGGAAGGAACGCCCGUGGCGAAAGCGAGGUCCUGGACGCCUACUGACGCUGAGACGCGAAAGCCAGGGGAGCGGAACGGG